rnacentral:rRNA from 1 species
GAUGAACGCUGGCGGCGUGCCUGAUACAUGCAAGUCGAGCGAACAGACGAGGAGCUUGCUCCUCUGACGUUAGCGGCGGACGGGUGAGUAACACGUGGAUAACCUACCUAUAAGACUGGGAUAACUUCGGGAAACCGGAGCUAAUACCGGAUAAUAUAUUGAACCGCAUGGUUCAAUAGCGAAAGACGGUUUUGCUGUCACUUAUAGAUGGAUCCGCGCCGCAUUAGCUAGUUGGUAAGGUAACGGCUUACCAAGGCAACGAUGCGUAGCCGACCUGAGAGGGUGAUCGGCCACACUGGAACUGAGACACGGUCCAGACUCCUACGGGAGGCAGCAGUAGGGAAUCUUCCGCAAUGGGCGAAAGCCUGACGGAGCAACGCCGCGUGAGUGAUGAAGGUCUUCGGAUCGUAAAACUCUGUUAUUAGGGAAGAACAAAUGUGUAAGUAACUAUGCACGUCUUGACGGUACCUAAUCAGAAAGCCACGGCUAACUACGUG